AGGGAGCGGGCGAGGCGCCGGAGUCCGCGCUCGGCCAGGGAGUGGCAGCCCGAUUGUCCAAGGAUUAAAAAGUAAGCAGCAUUGUUUGUUGGAGAGCCCUACAGGAAGUGGGAAAAGCUUAGUCUUACUUUGUGCUGCUUUAGCGUGGCAACAGUCUCUUCUUCGUGCCAGCGGAUGAAAGCUUAAGCGAAAAAGCUGAAGUGCCGUUGUCACGUCGUUGUACGUGCCACUCAAAGAGUGUUACAAACGAUGGCGAGGACCGAGGAGCUUCACGUCAUUUCAACAGUCCAAGUACACCAGCUUCUGAAAGAAAUGG